rnacentral:lncRNA from 10 species
GCCCUUCUGAGUAUUUUGCUUGAUCAGGAAAAAGGCCUGGGAAAGCCAACAGGAUUCUCUUCAGAAUGUAGAUUUUCCCCACAAGAGACAGCUUUGCAAGACUACUUCAAGAUAUGGCAAAGAAACAUAAUAUGGGGUAAAACACUUCAAUUUCUUUCAGGGCCUGUGAUCUGUCAUGUAAUGCUAUACUAAAAUCAGGCUGGAAUUUGGUAUCUUAUUGUUACAAAGAGUCUUCUUUGUCAGUCUUAAGACCUGUUUUAAUGUUAAUGCUG